GGGAAUGAUUGGGCGGCUGGUGCCCUCCGCGGUCUUCAAAACCGACGGGAUUUACACAAUAAAUCCGGUGAGUUCGAUUCUCACGCGUUCCCG
rnacentral:tRNA from 1 species